UUGCAGCGCACAUACGGGGAGCCCACUCCCACCAGGCUGCAUGGAAAGUCCCCGUGCCUAAGUGUGGAGAGUACCAGCGGGAGACCGCAGGGGUCUGGCUUUUGCGCUUGCGGUGAAGCUGCGUGUGGAGCUGAAGUGCAAAGCUGGGACCGUUUGCAUCAGCACAGCCAUGUCGUGAGCACCCGAAUGGGGGUGCCAACAGAACGGGGCUUACUCUG
rnacentral:RNase_MRP_RNA from 1 species